AGAGCCAGUCUACUAAUAGAAGCCGAAGCGAGAAGUUUAAUCCUCAUCCUGAAGAAGUUGCAUCUGGUUUCCCAAUUGAUCCACCGAGGCCAUCAUCACAAGCAUUUGAACCAAACAGAUAGUCUCAGGGUAUCAUUAUUCCUCACAAGAGAGCUUCACAUUCCGGUCCUUUAUCACGUAGAUCUGCUUCCGCAAAGGGUAGGAGGAACUACCAAGAUUCUCAAAAGUUUUCGUCCAUAGCUGAUUACUCAACAAUGCCUGAUUUGAAGAAGCUUGUCUCCGCUUGAAACAUGUGGUCGAGGUAUGUAUAUCGCUUGUCUUCCUGAUUUUAAUUUUGGUUUGGUUUGGUUUUGUUUUUCAGUUUUUGAGGAUCGAAAUUUAACAAGAGAACAACAAACCUUUACUGGAUCAGUUCUCGUCUAUGGUUUUGUUUUGCAAUUGAUGACAUCAUCAGUCUUGGUAUUUAUAUAUCCAAGUCAUCUGUUUUUCAAAGCCUUUUUAAAAUUGUUCUACAGAACUUGUUGGUUUUUUGUUUUUGGAAGGUUUUUGUUUUGUUUUUUUAAAACCCAAAGAGAUUCAUGGGCAGACACUAAUCUAAUGGUGCUCUGUCUGAUUCUUUUUGGGGACAUUGUCCCGAACGGAAUCGGAUAUAUUGGAUGGGUAGUGCAUGCAUGUUGGGAGGGAAUGACCGAGACGGGAAAAAGGAAUAAAAAGAGUUCACAAUUUGACUCUCCCCGACUUAAGACAUUGAAAGAAGUCACAGACUUUGGGUUGGAUGGUAAAAACGACCAACCCUUUGUUUGAUGGGGGAAUGACCAACGGCUUAAGAAGUCUAUAAGACAGAGACUGUGUAUAAAGGGGAAAAAAUAAAAGAAAGAGUUCAUAAUUUGACUACCCCUGACUUAAGACAUAGAAAGUAGUCACAGACUUUAGGUUGGAUGGUAUAAACGACCAACCUUUUGUUUGAUGGAAUCAGACCAGCGGCUUAAUGAAGUCUAUAAGACUGAGACUGUAUAAAGGGGGAAAAAGAAAAGAAAGAGUUCACAAUUUGACUACCCCUGACUUAAGACAUAGAAAGAAGUCACAGACUUUGGGUUGGAGGAUUAAAACGACCAACCUUUUGUUUGAUGGAAUCAGACCAGCGGCUUAAAAAUAUGAGGCAUAAAGACAACAGUAGACAAAGAAAUAAGACAUCAAAGGAAACUAAUAGACCAACGGCUUAAAGAAUAGCAGAUACCACGGGCUUAAAGAAAUAAGACAAAGAUCUUUGACAAAGACAAUGGAGUGAUUAAGACUUGUUGGAUGGUAACAACGACCAACACUUGAGGAAAGACUUGUUGGAUGGUAAAAACGACCAACACAUUAAGAGAAAGAGGUUGAAUAAAGGCUGAACCUAAAAAUAAUAGACCAACGGCUUAAAGAAAUAAGACAAAGAGACAAAGACUUGUUGGAUGGUAAAAACGACCAACACUUGAGGUAGACUUGUUGGAUGGUACAAACGACCAACACUUGAGGUAGACUUGUUGGAUGGUAAAAACGACCAGCACUUUAAGAGAAAGAGGUUAAGAUAAAGGCUGAACCUGAAAACUAAUAGACCAACGGCUUAAAGAAGUUAUAAGACUAUAGAGCGGUUACCAACGGCUUAAAAACGAUAAAGACAAAGAUAUUUGACAAAGACUUGUUCGAUGGUAUAAACGACCAACACAUUAAGAGGAAGAGGUAAAGAUAAAGAUAAAGGCUGAACCUAGUACUAAUAGACCAACGGCUUAAAGAAGUUAUAAGACAAUGGAGUGGACCAACGGCUUAAUAAAGAUUUGACAAGGAUAUGUGACAAAGACUUGUUGGAUGGUAAAAACGACCAACACUUGAGUAAGACUUGUUGGAUGGUAAAAACGACCAACACUUGAGGAAAGACUUGUUGGAUGGUAAAAACGACCAGCACAUUAAGAGAAAGAGGUUAAAAAAAAGGUUGAACCUAAAAACUAUUAGACCAACGGCUUAAAGAAGUUAUAAGACUAUUGAGUGGUUACCAACGGCUUAAAGAAAUAAGACAAAGAUAUAUCUGACAAUGACAACAAUGGAGUGGUUAAGACUUGUUGAUUUAUUGGAUACAAAAGAUGAUCAAUAGCUUCAAAAAAUGAGGUAAGUAUCAAGCAUUUCCAUUAAAUGAAGACUAACUAAUUUUAAUUUUGGGCAGGUUAUAUUCUUCUGAAGGCGUUGAGGAGAUUCCAAGUGUAGCAGACUUCUUGAACAGGUUAUGUAUAUUGGAUUAAAGACUAACCAGGGAAGUAAGCCGGUGAUUAUUUAAGGAAAUGAAGUUGAGUAGUGGUGUGUGGAGAUAAAUACAAAGCUUGGAUUGAGUACAAGGGCUAAGGCUAUUGUCACGGUCCAACAGAAAACGUCUUGAAACCUAAAAAGCCUUAAUAUUGAAAUUGCGAAACUGGGCUAUAUCUAUGUAAAGUUCUCAUUGGAGAAAACCGGUCUCACAUUGAUUAUGUCAGAAGCUUACUUGGUUCACACAAAGACGAUAACUUGUUGAUGAUGGCUCUAUUGUGAGAGCUUUGGAAUGUGAAGAUGUUAGCUUGCGUCAGUGGUUAGACAAUCCUGACCGAUCCGUUGAUGCGUUUGAGUGUUUUCACGUUUUCAGACAAAUCGUUGAGAUUGUCAAUGCAGCUCACUCUCAAGGCAUUGUUGUUCAUAAUGUUAGGCCUUCUUGUUUCGUUAUGUCUUCCUUUAACCAUGUUUCGUUUAUCGAAUCCGCUUCUUGUUCGGAUUCCGGUUCUGAUGAGGAGAUUACAACAAAGUCUCGAGAGGUUGGGAGCUCGUGGAAAAGAAGAUGUUCUAUCAGAGAGACGAACAUUAAUUCCACUAUUAAGAAACUUUGCUUGGGUACGGUGAGGGACUCUUGAGGAAUUUGAUGAGUCUGCUUCAGUUUUGGUUUGGAACUUGUCAAGUGAACGUGAUGGAAGAAGAGCUUGGUUGCCCCAGCUAGACUCUUAACUUUGGUUCUUGAGGAGUUCUGGUGUUGUUGUUCCCACUGACAUUCAGGAAGGAUGGGUUCAAAAACUUCAUUUGCAAGGGAUAGAGGUCAAACAAGUUUCUGAUGGGCUCGGUUAAGGAUUUCAAAGUUGUCAUCAAGGCUUGUGUAGUCAAAAGAGCAUAAGAGUAAAAUAUAUUACUUUUGAAUGGAACAGGGAGAGUGGUGACAUAUUUGUGAACUGAUCAUCCCAGGAAUAAACUAGUAUAGCUGAAUCAGACAUGGCUGUUAUUUUCUUUAUAAAGGG